rnacentral:rRNA from 1 species
UUAAAUAGGGCACGAUCUAAAUCUGUUGAGACGACGCCUUAUGAACUAUGGUUUGGCAAUAAACCAAAGUUGUCGUUUCUUAAAGUUUGGGGUUGCGAUGCUUAUGUGAAAAAGCUUCAACUUGAUAAGCUCGAACCCAAAUCGGAGAAAUGUGUCUUCAUAGGAUACCCAAAGGAGACCGUUGGGUACACCUUCUAUCACAGAUCCGAAGGCAAGACUUUUGUUGCUAAAUUUGGAUCCUUUCUAGAGAAGGAGUUUCUCUCGAAAGAAGUGAGUGGGAGGCAAGUAGAACUUGAUGAGGUAACUGUACCUGCUUCCUUAUUGGAAAGUAGUUCAUCACAGAAACCG